rnacentral:tRNA from 1 species
ACACCCAUAGCUUAACUGGAUAAAGUAUUUGACUUCGGAUCAAAAGAGUGUAGGUUCAAGUCCUACUGGGUGUG